UUUUUUUUUUUUUUUCUUUUUUGGGCUGCAUCCACGGCAUAUGGAGGUUCCAGGUUAGGGGUCAAAUCAGAGCUACAGCUGCCGGCCUAACCACAGCCAUAGCAAUGCCAGAUCUGAGCCACAUCUGCAACCCACACCACAGCUCAUCGCAACACUGGACCCUUAACCCACUGAGCGAGGCCAGGGAUCGAACCUGCAUCCUCAUGGACACUAGUCGGAUUCGUUUCUGCUGAGCCAUGACAGGAACUCCCUGAUUCUGAUUUUUAAUGUCUCAAGUCUAAUGAACAUCUUCCAGGAAGAUUUUUUUUGUUUUAAUUAUUCACAUCAACCCCCUCCAAAAUUCCUGCUCUAGCAGCAAAACGUAAACUGCUUUUAAUCAUCAGAAACCUAUUUGGAAGUGUUAAGAGCUCUGUAAUUCCCUUUUCUUUAAUCAACAGCCUAACCCCCACGCACCCCCAGUCUGCAAGGAGAAACGACGAUUCACAUCCCCUUGCUGGAGUCCCCACCGCACCCCACAGCGAGGAAGCAACCACCUGCAUUUACCGGUGUCUGAGCCACGGCCUCUCCUCACCACCACCCCGCUGGUCACCUCCUGCAUGUUUAAGACCUGGUAUUCUCAGAGCACCCACCCUGCAGAUGGAAGUCACCUCCCAGAGGGAACGCCAGGGAGCCUGCCUUCCUGGUACUGCCAUCAAGUUUCGGGAACCAGCUUCCUUUUGUUCCACCCUGAGCACUAGGCUCGGGGCUCCAAUGGCCUGUCCCUCAGGGCUGGACCUCUGCUUUAUCACUGAAGACUGGGGCGGGUCUAGCCACCUCUUCCAAGCAAGGUUGUAAGGAUGCAUAAAACCAGGGUGACCUCACACUCAACAUUCCAACUGGAGCACUUAUGAGAAGGAAGGCAGUGUGUUAGGACUGUCCCAGGACACCCGCCUGUACAGUCCACCUGCCGACUGAGCACCUGGCACUGUGCCUGGCAAGAGUGAUUGUCAGGUGAGGGCUGAGGACAGCAACGGUGGCUGAUAGGAAACGCUUGAUGACACGCAUCACUGUUACACCAACCUGUUCCCAUGGCUUUGAUGUAUAACAAAGUGAACAGGCACUAAAGCUGAACACAUGCACAAGCCCUGAAGCGCCCCCGGCGGGGUGGGUAGGUUUCCAAGGCAGUGGCAAAAUGACCCGUGGCUUUCAGCAAACUGCAGGGACACAGAGCCUCAGGUGUCCAGGGACCCUCCCUCCCAGGCCACAAGGAUGCUCUGGCACCUGGAAGCAGGAGCCAUGUGAUACCCUCGCUGCUGCCCCUCCUCACACUGAACUCUCUGGGCCCUGGAUGCCCUCUCCACAGGCACAGCCACAUACAAAGGGAUAAAGUCACUGCCCAGAGAUGUAUUUAUGUGGGGAACACAGAACUCUGUUAUCACUCAAAGUCCAAGACACAGGCCAUCUUGCAGCUCACAACUGGCCCUGGUUCACGGAGUCUCCCGGGGUCAGCUGUGUAGCUGCUACACUAUUAUAACAAGACCAGCCUCUGAGGAGCCAGGUUCCAAGGGUGGCCCAAAGAAGUGAACCAUCCUCCCUGCCCUGGCGACGACGGCCACCGCAGCAAGGAAGGCCAAGAAGGAAGGUGAGUGGCAGAGGCUGAAAAGAUGAAGUGUGUGUGCUGACAGGCAACAGGGCACUGUGUCUGGGUCAGACGGAGCCAGGUCCUCUGUCCUUACUAGUUGUCCAUCCUUACAGGCCACUGGGACACGAACCCCAAAGCGGACACCAUAGAGGUCAGCCCCAUAAAGCCCCAGUGCAGUGACACCCACAGAAGCCCGCACUUUCGCAGUGCGUAUCUGCACCCCCUCACCCUUCCUCCACGCCGGCCACCACGAGAAUGAAGUGAAUGGGACAGAACACAGCCCCAAAGAGCUCAGGCAAAGCUAUGUAGUCAUCGGAUCCAAGACUUGUCAGCUGCAGAGCGAGCCACUAACUUCCCCUAAUAUUUAGGAAGACAAAGAAAAGUGUCAUCCAAGACACCGUGAAACACCAUCAUCAGAUGCAUCCUGAUUUCAGAGACGUUAAAACGAAGGAGAAAUGGGCAUUUCAGAAUGAAUGAGACACCCUGUGAGGAGAGGCCCAGGAGGCCUGGCACUCAGGGUCUUGUCCUGAUGGGAGGAUGUCCAAGGCCAGUCUGAGCCCAUGCAGUGGUGGCGUCCAGCUGCUCUUCAACAAGCCCUGGACCGUGUCUGAAGUCCAGAUUCCCCACCCCUCAUGGAGGUUCUGAUUCAGUGGAUCUGGAAGAACGGGGCCUGGGGACCUGUUUGUUCAAAGCUCCUCAGGUGACACGUCAGGCUCUGAAAGGGGUGGAUGGCAGAGGCCACCUGCUUCCCACCAGCCAGCCUUGCUUGCCCCACCCACCACCACACUCGGCGCUGAGAAAAGGCAAAGAUGUGUCUGUGCCAGUGCCCAACGGGAGACAGAGCCUGGCAAAGUUGGCAGAAUGGAUCUGCCCACACAGAGACCCUUGUUCUCCGAGACCUCUGGCAUCAGGAGAGGAUGCCACACGCCUCCAGGGAGGAAGGCCCAGCAGAACAGGUGUGGCUCUAACAGGCAGCAUGGUUCUGCAGCCCCCACACAUCAUCCCCAGCGAGCCUCUCCUGCACACUUUCCCCGACUCUGAUUCAUCCUCAGAUUGUACAGUUGCAGAGGGCCACUGAGACCAGGGUAGUGAGGAGCGAGGGAGCUGAGGGCGUCCGGGCAGUAUUUCUCUACAUCAGCUGUGACUCAGCCUGGCAGAGCCCCAGGAACCUUUACAGCACUGCCCUCUGCCCCUGUAUUGGUUCCAUGGGCAGCAAAGACCAGUAAUGACAGACUGAUCACUGUUCGCAGGCACAUUUGCAGCACCUCUGGGGACCCAAGGAAGAAAAAGCCUGCUGUUCUUUCCUCCCAGUGUGCCCAGGGGAAUGACUCCAUGGCAGUGAGUUGUGCAUCCCCAGAUUUCUGAAGCCUAUUAAGAAAGGAGAGCCUAUGUGGGAGGCGAGCAUGACGCAGCCUGGCCACCCGUUUCCCUCCUCCAGCUCCGUCUCAGCAUCACAUUUCUUUGAUGACUCAACGCAUCCAAGGAGACAGGGGUUUUAAAGCUUCCCAUUCCUGGGGCUAGAGAGCCAGAGGGCUGAGAUUCCAGGUCGUCGGGGGAAAGAGACAACCACUGCUCUCUGAGACCCACCAGCUGGUCCUAAUAACCUAGUUCACCCAGAAGGUAGGAUUUCGGUUGUUUUAGAGAAUAGUUCCAUUAAGCGGUGGAGAAAGGAGUAGGGGAGAGAGACGCUAGGGGAGAGAGCCUGUGCCAAAUCAAGUCAGAGCCCACCUCCUGCAGCACCUCCCACCCCUGGCCUUUGCAGGUCCCACAUCCUCACCCGCGUCCUUAGAGAACACAGGAAGCUUAAGGCUGCUUGUUACCACAGGGGCACGGUGCGUGCUGCACACAGAGUGCUUGGUGAAGCCCGGCUGAAGGUGCACCUGAUGGGGACACCAAAUCCGUCGAGCACAUCCACCCAGAGCAGGGAACUGCUGGAGGAGGAAAUGGUCACCCCGGGAGGUGGUGAGCAAGAAUCAAGGUCAGGUAGGAGCACUCUCGCUGCCUGCCCAAGCAAAUGACUAAGGGAAGGGAAGGAAUAAACAACUCAUUACCUAAUAGGGGCUUUGUCUGCACCAGCAGACUCAUUCCAGAAUUGAGGCCAAAAUCGGGGUUAACUGCAACAGGGCCAACAUGAUAAUUACGCGUGUGUUUUGGUUCUGGUAUUUNNNNNNNNNNNNNNNNNNNNNNCUACAGCCACACAAAAGAUCCUGCAGGAAUCUCUUUCCUGGAAGUGCCGAGAGUCCUACAGAGGCAGACGGCCCCGCAGCCCACGAACACCUGCCCCACGUUGGGCAGAAGGGCUUGCCUGGUGUUCCUUCCCAACCCUGGGGCUGAAGACAUGCAUAUUGUCCAGGAGGCUGCAGGAAAGCAACUCCGCUCAACCCUAGGCCUGGCUGAAUAAAAAUAUUCACCUUCACACUUGAAAAGUAGCUGUUGUUCAUGGAUACAAAAUAACAGCAGUGGAGAGAGUAAGAGCCACACUGAAGGUCUCUGAUGUGCAAGCUAAGAGUCCAAGUAUGUUAUUAAAAUCUAUGAAGGGCAUUUUGCCCUCCGUGAAAUCUAAGGAACGAUUAUUAAAACAUAAAGGACCACAAUUCUCUCUCUACCUCUGUAAACAGCUCUUUCUAGCAACUAUUUUUCUGGACGGCCUCUCCUGGGGACAAGGUGAGGCUGUGACAAGUUCCAAAAAAGCAAAACAGCUGGGACUGUUAAGAAGCUCCUGGAGUUCCCGUCGUGGCUCAGUGGUUAACGAAUCCGACUAGGAACCAUGAGACACAUUAGCUACAUUUUUUAGAAUUCAGGAAUCAGAGGCAUGAAGUGAUGGGACAAAGCUGCCUGGAAUUGUAGCAAGUUAAAGCUACUACCAGAACUCUGACCCUUCAUGUUUUAACUCUCACUGAACAAACAAGAUCCUGAACUGCUCUUCUCCAUAGACGGUGUGGGCAGCUUAGAGGCCUCAACAGAGAAGCCAUGGGCCUUGCCCUCCUGGCGCUGAGGGGCUGGUGGGAAGAAAAGCUAACUAAACAGGCACCAUGCAGCACUGGCAAUGACACCAGGCCACUGGUAAAGCAGCUCCUAGAGUCGGACAGAAGCUGAGGACAUCAGGGACCAGACUGGCCAUUCCUGCAGGCAUCAGGCUCAAAGAGAGGCUGGGCCCUCAUGCCUGGGUGUGCAAAGCCACCUGCAGAGCUCGAUGGAGGGGAACUCUGUCCAGACUGGGAGGGAACCUGCCUGGCAGCCUCCGCAACCUGGGGAAGGAAAAGUCCCCUCCAGGAGCAAAGGCCAGAACAUCAUUAAGCUGUGCACCCACUGCUGAGACUUGGGCACAUGUGGCUGCUGUCCCCCAGAACACACGCCUCCAGCCCAGCUUACAGCUGGCACCGCCUGGGCAUCAGAGCCGAGAUAAGAGCAGAGGAAUCCUCCCUGGCAAAGCUACAGAGCUGUGUGGACCGCCUGGAGGUUCGAGAAACACAGCAGUGUAUUCGUGGUUUCAAGAAACUCACGGCCAUGAACAUCCUGGGCUGUUUACUCCCUGGACCCCAAGGACAAUUGUCCUGACAGGCUCACUGUGGACAGUGGACAGCGUGCGUCCCCACGGGAGUUAGGAAAUGGGCAAGAAGGGUCCACAGGAGCCCCGCAGACACACGAUGGCAGCUUGUGCCCUGUGGAAACGCCAACACAGAGACCCCUGAUGUGACACAGGGGCUGCAGAGGCAACUCAGAAUUCUGCGAAAGAACAAAAGAAAGUGUGGUUAGAUGACACUGUAAGGACGCAGAACCUCCUCUCCUCCUGUGUGUGUGUGUGUGUGUGAUGCUGGGAGCAUCCAGGCAAGGCCGUGACAAGAAGACUGGGUCUAGACACCAUAUCAGUUAGAACUGCAGCCCAGCUGCCACACUCAGCCUGGAGGAACCGGACCCCCUUAGCUCGGCUAGUCCCAGGCACACAAUCACUGCUCAAUAAGUACACCGUGGGCCUGGAGACAGCAAAGCCACAACUAUGCAAUUCAUGUGAACAAAGUCUAAAAAGACACAGUCCUACAGCAUGAACCCCACACCUGCUAAAAGCAGAUAGAGCUGGUGAGAGGGCAAAAGAAGACAGUUCCCAACAGGACUCUGGGGUUCUGCAGGAGCACCUUUACUCCAGCAAACCUACGUAAUAUUCAGAUAUGCCUUCAAACAUCCUCGUCCCAUCAACUACCCCAGAGAGUGCAAGCCUGCACUCAAGCCUGAGUGUAAAGCAUUUGAAGUUUCUGGAAGAAUUAAGUUAUGCCAAAUCUCUACUAUAAAUGUCACUCACCAGAAUGUAAAUAAGAAAAUCCAGAAUGUAUUCUAGCAUUAACAAUUAAGAAUUAUAUACUCCUUUUCACAAAAUAUAGUCAUACAUAUUAACACAUUUUUGAUCCCUGAAGCCUAAGUGAAUUAGUAUUAUUAUCUAUUUUAUACAUGCCAAACCUAAAGACUCAGAAAUAUAAAAGCUGCACUAAAUCACCAGCCAGUUAAGUAUUAAUGACACAGCACAUAUUUGGCCCAUGUUACCAUAACUCUCCACUAGAAAAGAUACUUUAAAGUUUGCUGAUAC
ensembl:lncRNA